GUCUCUGGUGUUUAUCAAAAUUUAUACUUUUUCUGAAGUGCUUUUCUCAUGGUGCGAUGCGGAAUUCUUGAGACCUGAACUGAAGAGAC
rnacentral:snoRNA from 1 species